AGGUGUGGUGGCGCGCGCCUGUAAUCCAAGCUACCGGGAAACUGGCGGAGCAUUUGAGCUCAGGAGCUCUGUGCUGCAACGGACUGUGCCAAUCGGGUGUCCGCACUAAUUUCGGUAUCGAUAUGGUGCUCCUGGGUAGUAAUGGGUUCGCGCCUGUGAGCAGACGCUGUAGUGCAGCCUGAGUAAUACAGCGGGAACCAGUCU
rnacentral:SRP_RNA from 1 species